rnacentral:rRNA from 1 species
UACGGAGGGUGCUAGCGUUGUUCGGAAUCACUGGGCGUAAAGGGCGCGUAGGUGGCGUCGCAAGUCAACGGUGAAAGCUCGACGCUCAACGUCGAGUCGGCCGUCGAGACUGCGAGGCUUGAGCACUGUAGAGGCAGAUGGAAUUCCGGGUGUAGCGGUGGAAUGCGUAGAGAUCCGGAAGAACACCGGUGGCGAAGGCGGUCUGCUGGGCAGUUGCUGACACUGAGGCGCGACAGCGUGGGGAGCAAACAGG